rnacentral:rRNA from 1 species
GACGAACGCUGGCGGCGUGCUUAACACAUGCAAGUCGAACGGAAAGGCCCUGCUUUUGUGGGGUGCUCGAGUGGCGAAAGGGUGAGUAACACGUGAGUAACCUGCCCUUGACUUUGGGAUAACUUCAGGAAACUGGGGCUAAUACCGGAUAGGAGCUCCUGCUGCAUGGUGGGGGUUGGAAAGUUUCGGCGGUUGGGGAUGGACUCGCGGCUUAUCAGCUUGUUGGUGGGGUAGUGGCUUACCAAGGCUUUGACGGGUAGCCGGCCUGAGAGGGUGACCGGCCACAUUGGGACUGAGAUACGGGCCAGACUCCUACGGGAGGCAGCAGUGGGGAAUAUUGCACGAUGGGCGGAAGCCUGAUGCAGCAACGCCGCGUGCGGGAUGACGGCCUUCGGGUUGUAAACCGCUUUCGCCUGUGACGAAGCGUGAGUGACGGUAAUGGGUAAAGAAGCACCGGCUAACUACGUG